UUGGCACGGGGGCCUGCAGGGGUCUUGGAAGCAGAGUUUGCCUGUGGUAAAGGGGCCCCAGCUGCUGCUCAGUAUUCCUGGGCUGGUGAAUGUAUUCUGAUGGGGCCACUGUCGUGUGGGGAAGGGAAGGAGCCCUCUUGAUUUGGGGAGGAAUGCAGAGGAGUGCUGGCACCACCCUGAUGCAGGUUACAACUAUAUUUGCCCCUGAACUCACUGGAAACAGGAGAACCGUGUCCCUGCCCGGCUCUGUCACGCAUGCACACACAGUGCCCAAAAGAAAACAAACAAUACAGUGCGUGGUAUAUAAAACGAAGAGAGGAAAAGAACAUCUUAGAUCUCUUUUAAGCUUGGAAAGCUGAUUACAUGGGAGGAAAAAGCUAUAGAAGUAACUAAGAAGUGUUCUAUUGUUGGUUCUACCACUGGACACCUUGAGUUAUCUUAGUCAUGCUAUUUCACUGCCGGAGAGCCUCAAUUUCCUCAUCUGCCUUAUGACAUUAAA